rnacentral:rRNA from 1 species
UACGUAGGGGGCAAGCGUUAUCCGGAUUUACUGGGUGUAAAGGGAGCGUAGACGGUAAGGCAAGUCUGAAGUGAAAUGCACGGGCUUAACCCGUGAACUGCUUUGGAAACUGUCUGACUAGAGUGCAGGAGGGGUAAGUGGAAUUCCUGGUGUAGCGGUGAAAUGCGUAGAUAUCAGGAGGAACACCGGUGGCGAAGGCGGCUUACUGGACUGUAACUGACGUUGAGGCUCGAAAGCGUGGGGAG